rnacentral:rRNA from 1 species
CCUACGGGUGGCAGCAGUGGGGAAUAUUGGACAAUGGGGGGAACCCUGAUCCAGCCACGCCGCGUGUGUGAAGAAGGCCCUCGGGUUGUAAAGCACUUUCAGUGAGGAAGAACGCCUGGUGGUUAAUACCCAUCAGGAAAGACAUCACUCACAGAAGAAGCACCGGCUAACUCCGUGCCAGCAGCCGCGGUAAUACGGAGGGUGCGAGCGUUAAUCGGAAUUACUGGGCGUAAAGCGCGCGUAGGUGGCUUGAUAAGCCGGUUGUGAAAGCCCCGGGCUCAACCUGGGAACGGCAUCCGGAACUGUCAAGCUAGAGUGCAGGAGAGGAAGGUAGAAUUCCCGGUGUAGCGGUGAAAUGCGUAGAGAUCGGGAGGAAUACCAGUGGCGAAGGCGGCCUUCUGGACUGACACUGACACUGAGGUGCGAAAGCGUGGGUAGCAAACAGGAUUAGAUACCCCUGUAGUC